rnacentral:rRNA from 1 species
GGCGAACGGGUGAGUAACACGUGGGCAAUCUGCCCUGCACUCUGGGACAAGCCCUGGAAACGGGGUCUAAUACCGGAUACUGAUCCGCUUGGGCAUCCAAGUGGUUCGAAAGCUCCGGCGGUGCAGGAUGAGCCCGCGGCCUAUCAGCUUGUUGGUGAGGUAAUGGCUCACCAAGGCGACGACGGGUAGCCGGCCUGAGAGGGCGACCGGCCACACUGGGACUGAGACACGGCCCAGACUCCUACGGGAGGCAGCAGUGGGGAAUAUUGCACAAUGGGCGAAAGCCUGAUGCAGCGACGCCGCGUGAGGGAUGACGGCCUUCGGGUUGUAAACCUCUUUCAGCAGGGAAGAAGCGAAAGUGACGGUACCUGCAGAAGAAGCGCCGGCUAACUACGUGCCAGCAGCCGCGGUAAUACGUAGGGCGCAAGCGUUGUCCGGAAUUAUUGGGCGUAAAGAGCUCGUAGGCGGCUUGUCACGUCGGUUGUGAAAGCCCGGGGCUUAACCCCGGGUCUGCAGUCGAUACGGGCAGGCUAGAGUUCGGUAGGGGAGAUCGGAAUUCCUGGUGUAGCGGUGAAAUGCGCAGAUAUCAGGAGGAACACCGGUGGCGAAGGCGGAUCUCUGGGCCGAUACUGACGCUGAG